GGGUCCCCGUGCCCCGCUGACGCCCCCCUCCUCCUCUGUGUCCCCCCCCAGGUCCCCGCCCCAUGGCCGAGGGGGGCUCGCACCCCGGGGACGUCACCGCCGGCCCCGCAGCGCGUCCCCACCCCCCUUGGGGACAACCCGGGGGGGUCCCCGAGGGGGAUGGGGCCACCCCCGGCGUCCCCACCGUCACUGUCACCCCCUGGGCCGGUGGCAUCACCAUCACUGUCACCGCCGCGCCGGACAUCGGGGACGUUGGGGACAUCGAGGACGUUGGGGACAUCGGGGAUGUUGGGGGCACUGAGGACAUUGGGGACAUCGGGGAUGUUGGGGACAUUGGGGACAUUGGGGGCAUUGAGGGCAUUGGGGACGUUGGGGACAUCAAGGACAUCAAAGACAUUGGGGACGUUGGGGUCAUCGGGGACAUCGGGGACGUUGGGGACAUUGGGGCCAUUGGGGACAUCAAGGAUGUUGGGGACAGUGGGGUCAAGAACGUUGGGGACAUCGGGGUUGGGGACAUUGGGGCCACGGGGCCGCGCGCCGCCGGUGGCAUCACCAUCACGGUGACAGCGCCCCCGGCGGAGGACGAGGACGUCCCCGGCGAUGACGUCACCGCUGACGUCACCGCUGACGUCACCGAUGACGUCAUCACGGGCGGGGGUGGCCCCUCCGCUGUCCCCGCGGCCGGAGGUGACGUCACUUCCAUGGUGGCCGGGGGUGACGUCACCGGUGACGUCAUCACGGGAAGUGACGUCAUCGGCGGGGACGUCUGUGGGGGUGACGUCAUCCCCGGAAGUGAUGACGUCAUACCAGGAAGCGACGACGUCAUUUCCGGAAGUGGUGACAUCAUUUCCGGAAGUGAUGACGUCAUUUCCAGGAGCGAUGACAUCAUCCCCGGAAGCGAUGACGUCACGUCCCGGGACCUCUCCGGGGGUGACGUCAUCCCCGGAAGUGACCUCACCGAUGACGUCAUCGGCGGGGACGUUUUGGGGGGCGAUGACGUCACUUCCUGCCUUCCCGGGGAGGAGCCGGCUGCUGACGUCACGCCCGGAAAUGACCUCACCGAUGACGUCAUCACCAAGGAUGACGUCACGGAUGACGUCACUUCCUGCCCGCCGGCUGCUGACCUCGCUGAUGACGUCACCGGGGCCAAUGACGUCACUUCCUGUUUCCCCGAGGCCCCCGCCGCUCGGGAUGACGUCACCGAUGACGUCACGCCCAACGAUGACGUCACAAAUGACGUCACAGCGGGGGGUGACGUCACAAAUGACAUCACCAAUGACGUCACGGCAGGGGAGGAGCCGCCCCCAGCCCCCCCCCAAAGCCCCCGGCG
rnacentral:lncRNA from 1 species